rnacentral:pre_miRNA from 1 species
UAUUCGGAAAUGUAGGGUGGACGUUAUCAUAAUUCGACCAUUCUGUGUUUCGAAUG